UCCUCUUCCUUCAUCACCACCUCUUCCUUCCACCAACCCCCACCGCCGGCAUAUGGAAGCCACGGGCUCCCCUAUGCAUCCUCGCCGGAUUCCGACCCCCAGCACUCUCCGCUCAUCCGCGCCGCACGCCGCCACUUCCUCCCCCACAGGAACACCUCGAGGUUGAACCCGACGUGUCCUACCCGUUGCCCGAGGUCAAAGUUUGUUCAUCACCCGAGCUCAUUUAGAUACAAGAGGAUGCUGCCAUUUCUCAUGGAGAACGGUGGCCAAGCUCAGAGAAUUUUCUGAAGAUAAACAAACUGUCAUCGGAUGAGAUUUAAUCUGCCACCGUAGAAGUUUCUCUGGAUAGCAGUGCAGAAAGCCACACCAGAAUAAGAGUUAGCUUCAGUUGGGGACCCACUGCCGUGCGUACAUUGCUCCAAAGGUUUUGGGAGUAAAGGAGCUGCUCUAGAUUUGUGCACAUCAUUCUCAGCUACAAAGUCACAUAUACUACUGUGUGGAAAGAUCAAACGAAAAAAACAACAAACCAGAUUAUUGUCUAGUUUGUAGCUAUGUUUUCAUAGUACCUACAAAAUACAUUUCUUGUUUUGGUACAUGGACAUAUGUCCUGCUGUUUUAUGUGUGAAAUAAGACUCUCUAUGCGCUCUCCUA